CCUACGGGGGGCAGCAGUGAGGAAUAUUUGUCAAUGGACGAGAGUCUGAACCAGCCAAGCAGCGUGAAGGAUGACUGCCCUAUGGGUUGUAAACUUCUUUUAUAUGGGAAUAAAUUGUUCUACGUGUGGGAUUUUGUAUGUAUCAUAUGAAUAAGGAUCGGCUAACUCCGUGCCAGCAGCCGCGGUAAUACGGAGGAUCCAAGCGUUAUCCGGAUUUAUUGGGUUUAAAGGGUGCGUAGGUGGAUUGUGAAGUCAGUGGUGAAAUUUUGCGGCUCAACCGUGACAUUGCCGUUGAUACUGGCAGUCGUGAGUACAGUAGCGGUAGGCGGAAGUCGUGGUGUAGCGGUGAAAUGCUUAGAGAUCACGAAGAACUCCGAUUGCGAAGGCAGCUCACUGGACUGCAACUGACGCUGAGGCUCGAAAGUGUGGGGAUCAAACAGGAUUAGAUACCCUUGUAGUC
rnacentral:rRNA from 1 species